GACGAACGCUGGCGGCGUGCCUAACACAUGCAAGUCGAACGGGGUUAUUUCCUUCGGGAGAUAACUUAGUGGCGAACGGGUGAGUAACGCGUGAGGAACCUGCCUUUCAGUGGGGGACAACAGUUGGAAACGACUGCUAAUACCGCAUAAUGUUAUUUGGGGGCAUCCCUGAAUAACCAAAGAUUUAUUGCUGAAAGAUGGCCUCGCGUCUGAUUAGCUAGUUGGUGAGGUAACGGCCCACCAAGGCGACGAUCAGUAGCCGGUCUGAGAGGAUGAACGGCCACAUUGGGGACUGAGAUACGGCCCAGACUCCUACGGGAGGCAGCAGUGGGAAUAUGGGCAAUGGGGGAAACCCUGACCCAGCAACGCCGCGUGAAGGAAGAAGG
rnacentral:rRNA from 1 species